rnacentral:rRNA from 1 species
AGCCGUAGCGAAGGCGAGUCUCAAAAGGCGUUUUGAGUCGCGCGCCCUGGACCCGAAGCGGGAUGAUCUAGCCCUGGGCAGGUUGAAGCGCGGGUAAGACCGCGUGGAGGACCGAACCCACCUGGGUUGAAAACCGGGGGGAUCACCUGGGGCUAGGGGUGAAAGGCCAAUCAAAUUCCGUGAUAGCUGGUUCUCUCCGAAAUGCAUUUAGGUGCAGCGUCGGUUGAUUGCAUCGCGGGGGUAGAGCUACUGGAUGCUUGCGGGCCCGUGUCGGGUACCAAUAGCAGCCAAACUCCGAAUACCGUGGAUGUGUAUUCCGGCAGUGAGUCGGCGGGGGAUAAGCUCCGUCGUCGAGAGGGAGACAGCCCAGAUCGUCGUCUAAGGUCCCGAAGCGUGUGCUAAGUGGGAAAGGAUGUGGAGUCGCAUAGACAGCCAGGAGGUUGGCUCAGAAGCAGCCAUCCUUGAAAGAGUGCGUAACAGCUCACUGGUCUAGUGGUUCCGCGCCGACAAUGUAGCGGGA